rnacentral:rRNA from 1 species
ACAUGCCCACAACAUAGCGUUAAUUCCCCGAAUCCCAUUAGAAAUCCGUAGUUAAGAACGCUCAGGAUAGAGUAGUAUUGGGAUGGGUGACCACCCAUGAAGUCCUAGUGUUUUACAUUCC